GACGAACGCUGGCGGCGUGCCUAAUACAUGCAAGUCGAACGCAGUGGGGACGGGUGAGUAACACGUGGGUAACCUCCCAUCAGAGGGGAUAACACUUGGAAACAUGUUCUAAACCGAUACUGAUGGAUGGACCCGCGGUGCAUUAGCUAGUUGGUGGGGUACCGGCUCACCAAGGCCACGAUGCAUAGCCUACCUGAGAGGGUGAGCGGCCACACUGGGACGUAGACACGGCCCAGACUCCUACGGGAGGAAGAAGUAGGGAAGCUUCGGCAAGGGACGAAAGUCUGACCGAGCAACGCCGCGUGAGUGAAGAAGGUGUUCGGAUCGUAAAACGCUGUUGUUAGAGAAGCGGUAUCUAACCAGAAAGCAACGGCUAACUACGUGCCAGCAGCCGCGGUAAUAC
rnacentral:rRNA from 1 species